GACACCAGGAAGUGAUUGUGGGGCUUU
rnacentral:piRNA from 1 species